rnacentral:rRNA from 1 species
AGUGAACGCUGGCGGUAGGCCUAACACAUGCAGGUCGAACGGCAGCACAGUAAGAGCUUGCUCUUACGGGUGGCGAGUGGCGGACGGGUGAGGAAUACAUCGGAAUCUACUUUUUCGUGGGGGGUAACGUAGGGAAACUUACGCUAAUACCGCAUACGACCUACGGGUGAAAGCAGGGGAUCUUCGGACCUUGCGCGAUUGAAUGAGCCGAUGUCGGAUUAGCUAGUUGGCGGGGUAAAGGCCAACAAAGCCGACGAGCCAGAGAUGGUCGGAGAGGAGGAUCAGACACACGUGGACUGAGAAACGGCCCAGAGUACUAAGAGAGGCAGCAGGGGGGAAUAUUGGACAAUGGGCGAAAGCCAGAUCCAUCAAUGCCGCGGGAGUGAUGAAGGCCUUAGGGUAGUAAAGCUCGUUUACCCGGGAUGAUAAUGACAGGACCGGGAGAAUAAGCUCCGGCUAACUCCGUU